UUGCUUUGUCUACAUGAGUCGGGAAGACUGGAGAUAAGAGUGGGAUAGACAUGCAGCCUUGUUUCUGUCGAGCACCAGAAGCCUGCAUCAGGUCCGCUGGACAUCUCCCUUUGGAUGUCUCGUCGAGAGAUUAUUAGUACAACAGGAGACGAGGGGCUAAAGGUAAGGCAGACCCUAUGUAUUUUUCUCCUCGUCUCUGCUUCUCAGACUUGUCCUUUUGGAGAGCAGUGAUAAAGCAGAUGGAUUUAGUUUUUAUGUCAGUCAUCAUCAGCUGGGUGGAAGUUUUUGUGUGAAAGAAAAGGCUAGCAUUAAAUUGAUUGAUGGUUCAUUUUUCCUGUUUGCUCCUUGGUCAUUGGAGUGACACCAGGAGGGCUGUCUCGUUAGAGGAGUGUGAGACAAUGGCUCUGACACACAUAGAAUUCAUCGCUUGUAAUUGAUCCCUGGAAAUAGCAUAGUCACACAUCGUCCCCAAUAAAUUUGCCUGCUGAACUACUUGGGACAAUCUACCCUGCACUUUUUUCAAAGGCUAUAAGAAAUUAACAGCAUGUAAUCUCACAAGGAAUAUUUGUCGUCGAAUUUCUCCAACAAAUGGGAGAUGACAAAUAUUUCACAUGUGGAUUAAUAAUUUCACCUUUGAGUUUUCUUCAUUUCCGGUCACAACCAGGCCAUACAAGAUGUACAAAUGUGUGAUUUCAGGCACAGCUGUGGUUGUACAAGGCACAGGUGUUGUGUCCUAGCAGACUUUAGCCUUAGAUCCUAUUGUUGUUAUCACUCCCCUUAUCAAAACAUCCAGGGUUUUUGCCCUAGCAGGUGAUGCUCCAAGAAGGAAGGAAGAAAUAAUUCUCCAACUGGACCCAAUAUUGUCCACCAGGGUUUACUUUCCCCUGGGGACUUGCUCAUAGAAAAUUCCUCUGCCACCAGCCUGCCCCCAGAAAUGGCUGCAGCCCCUUGAGUGCUCCAACAUAAGUGGGGACAAAAUCUUCUGUCUCUGGCUGUCCUUAGCACAGAUAAGCCUGGCUGGACCUGUCAGAGAAAAUUGAAGAACAAAAGGAGCACACAGGAGGGAUAAACACAAAGAAGGCAAGAAUGAUAAAAUGCUCUGCUUAGAAAGUGCAAAUUUCUGAACCUGCCUGAGCCACCGAGCUCUGAAGGCUCAAGGGCCCUUCUCUUUCUAUAAUUUUCUCCUGAGGAUGGUGCUAUGCUUAACCUGAAAAGAGAGCAGGGCGCCUGACUUCCUGGCUUCUCAGCAAUGGUGUCACUAGUUAUAGAUGCCUCUCCGCAGAAAGUCUGAGUUCUCCUUUUGUUCUUCUCAUGCAGACAGUAUCAAAGCAGCUCACCCUUCUUCCAGCAGGAAACGUGAAUGUGUGAAAAGAGCGACCAUUUGUUAGACUCUGUUUCUGGCCCAGCAUCAUGAUGUUUCUUAGGGUAAGGGGCAGGGGAGGAUGGAGAGGCAAUAGUGAAGAAACUGUUUUGUGAUUCAGAGGAAAGAGCAAGGUGACAAAAAAAAAAAAGGACCAUGAUUUAAUUUUAAUUAAAAUUAAAUAGGCAUACAUGACUGGUGGUUAAUGUUUUAGUGAAGCUCAAGAGACUAAGCGUGGCAGGGGCCCAGCAGAAAGUAGGUCCAGCAUCUCUGCCGCAAAGGCAAAGUCAUCCCCCGUCCUGCCCUGCCCCGCUCCACCCCGCCUGCUGGUCAAGGCCCCUCUGUCUCCCUCCUCCUGAAAGAGCACUGGACUAGAGUGUAGGUCAAGAGUGGCAAUGAUUUGGCUGUUGGCUAGUGGCCUCCUGCCCUAGCCUGGCUGUUUGUGCCCACAACCACCCACCAGCCUGAAGGAUCAGGUUGCUGCUUUGAUUUAGCCUCUCUAUUGCCACUCAGCCCGCACCUUUGCUGUCUCACCCUCCUGUACAGUGAGGCCUUUCCCUGUCCAUUUGAUUCCUAUUAGAGAACCAGGCAUUUCCCCGGUGACGGUGGAAAUAAGGUAUUCCAGGUGCAUGCUGUAAGGAAGGCGCAUGCGCGCAUAUGCAUGCGCACACGCAUGCGCCGUCUAGACCAAGGCGGGCACCUGUUCCAUCCCAGGGAGUAGAGGCGGCCACAUUCCCAAGGGGUUCUGUUACAGGCGGCCACAGGCUCCAAAGCCCAGAGCUGAUUCUGCUCUGGCUCCACUUCUUUCCUCUGCUGUCUGCUUAGUAAAGGAGCAAAGGCCAGGCCCAAGGCCCGCAGGUCACUAUAGAGUAUGGUGACCCCUAAGAAAACAAGAUCAACCGUCUUCAGGGCCCAUCCCCAACCUGCAAGGGGUCCCUGAGUUUACUAGUUAUUUGGGAUCACAAAGAUCCCAAGCAAUUUGCACAGUCUUCCUUGCUGCCACUCCUCUCCUAACCAGAAGCAACCAGGGAGCGAGACGCCACUUCACAUGGGACAAAGGUGGAUGUGAGAUGUGCAAGACCAGACCCUGAGGAAGGGCCACGGUGACCCAAGGGCUGGGCCCUUCAGCCUAAACUUACCUCUAGACUGAAAGGUGAUAGGUCCCAGGCGGAGCCCAGAGGGAGGGGGUGGGCAGCUGAGAUGGAGGCCAGGCUGGAAGGACUGGAGGGGAGCCAACACUGGUGUGUCUGCACACAGGAGCUGGGAGAGUCUCCCUAGAGCCUCAGGGCUCUUCCAGCAAAAGGUAAAGUUUGAAACCCCCCCACACACACACUCAGAGGAGUCCAGCCCUCCUGCAGCGCUCUUACACCCCAUCCCUGCAACCUGCAACUUGGCCUCCACCCCUUCCCCACACUCUGCCCCUACUAUCCGACAGAGUUUUGAGCCAGGGCCGUAGGGGCCCUGAAGGGAGGCCGGUCUUCUCUUUCACCUUGGUUCCUGGGACGCGCUGCGUCAUCAUGGCAGAGGCCAAGAGCUAGAUCCCGUGCCCGGGAUGCAGACUGAGCAGAAAGGGUGGAGGAGGCCGAGCAUGGAGUUGUGGACCAUCUCUCACCCUGCCCAGAGCCCCCAGCGCCCCAGUUCUUGCCAUGUGCCCUCUUGUGGGUGCUGAUGGGGCGUGGUGAGAGAUGCAGUGCACAGCCACAGCCUCCUCUCACCAGACCCUGGGACUCACCCUCUGCCCCCGACUCUCAGACAUCUGUUGAAUCCUGACUUCAAGCCUCACAUGGUGAAGCUCCUCCCUGCGGAAAUAAAGGGUUCAAGAAGGAUCUGGAAGGAGACAGAAACUCAGCUCAGCUGGCACAUCAAGGUCAGGGGCCUCACCUCUCCUAAUUUUAAAGAGAAAGAUCUGUAAGCAGAGGAGAGAAGCCAACCGAGUGACCCCUGAGUGGAAAUCAGGGCAGAAAUCUUUUGCAACAGAAUCCCCAUGGGAAACAUGACAAAAUUAGCAACAGGAAUGAGGUCUCCCUCGGAGGAUACAAGAAUCACUGGGUUGAAAAUAACCACAAGGUCAUCUAGUUCAGCUGCCACCACUUGCCUGAAUUUUUCCAGAAAUUUUUGGACAAGCAGUCAUCCAGCCUCAUCCAGCAGCUCAGUACUCAGCAGCCCCCUCCUGAUGGUGGGCAAGGUUUUAAAGGCCCCUGGGGCUCUCGUGCUUCCAGGGGCAGCUCGCAGAGGGCAGCGGGCAGCAGGCAGCACACAGGGGCCCGGGUCCAGCGCUUCCCUCCCUCCGGCUGCUGUGUUUAUACUCCAUUGAUUCACAGCAAAGACUCUUGGCAAGAUCAAGAUUUCUUUACACCGCUUGUGUGGCUGCUUUAGUGAACCAGCCUUAAAACAUGCCCCCGAGGAGGUCAGUUUUUGGUUAUCGUUGGCUUUAAUUCCUGGAAAAGUUCUGGAAAUCACGAUUUCAGAACCAGAAAGAGCUUCGGCAUCUCAUCCAACCACCUCACAUGACUCGUGAGAACCGAAGGGAGCCUGGAGCCUAGGGUGGAAUUCAGACCUUAUUCCCCACUGUUCCCCCCAGUGCCCUCUGAGCUGCAGUCCCAGUGGCUCUGGGACCCUCCAGAAGGUGCUCAGUGGCCUCUCUAGGGUCUCGUGUUACCUGAUCCACUGCAGCCCUGGCCCCCGGUUCUCAGCUCCUCCCUUGGUCUUUGCAGCCCCAUUCCCGGCUAGUAGGCUGGGGAAAGGGUGUGCAGUGUCCAUGCCUUUUCAGUGCCUCGCUUUCCCGUGUCUCCACCUGUGCACAAGCCUAGAAGCGCUCCAAACUCUCUCCUUUUGGAUUUUUUUAAUGGAGGCUUCAUUGUAUUGACUGAUUAAAUCAUCAGCCGCUGGUGAUUGAAUGUAAUCUCCAGCCCUCCCAGGAGACUGGGGUUUGUGCAGCCACUCCUUGACCACUGCCCCCUCCAACCAUUUCAGCCACUAAGUCUUACUCGCCUUAAAAAUAGUCGUGCUUGUUUGGGCAGCUUCUCUCCACGGAUUGAGUCUUUCACAGCUACAUUUUUUGAUCAGUAUCUACCCUUUGCUUCCACUUCAUCCCCUUCCCUCCAGCUGUCACCACAGUUUUUAUCUGUCUUACGCCCCAGCGCUCCCCUGGACCUGCUCUCACCAGCGGACUUCACCUUCCUAAUUCCAAUGUUUACUUUUAGUCCCUGCCUUGCUUGAUGGCCUCAUAAUAUUUGGCACAGCUGACUGUACCCUCCCUUGUAAAACUCUCCUUUCGCUUGGGUUCCUCGACCCGAUGUUUUUCUCCUAAUUUCCAAGUAGGCUCUUUUGCCUACGUGACCCAGGCCUUGAAAUCCUGGAGUCACGUGGCACUCUGUCCCGGAGCUCCUUCCUGAGUCAGCCCACCUCUUUCCUCGUGAUCCCAUCCGCCCCGGUGACUUGGCUCGCCAUCUGUCUGUAAACGAAUGGCCCUUUAAUCUGUGGCACCUGCUCAGACUUGCUCCUGAGCCAGAAUGUCACCACGGGAUGUUGCAUAUGUAUAGCUCUCUGACCCUCGAUGUGUCAGAAGAUGACUCAGAACCUUCUCCCUGGUCUCACCGUCACCACCCAUCACUCUGCACCCCAGGAAACAGCUUACACUUGCUAUUCAAGGCAGACCCUGAGGGCCUUGAACCCCUUUCCCUUCCUAACCACCCCACUCCUCUUCCAAUAGGCUCUAAGGUCAUGUCCUUCUCUCUAAUGCAGCUGUCCCAGGCUCUGACCAUCACUUCUUAUUUGCAGGUAGCAGACACCUCUAACCACACCUCCCUGUGUCCACUCUUGACCUCUUCCAAUCCAUUCUCAUGUUGCAGCCAGAGAGGAUUUUACAAGGCGCACAUGGGAUUAUGUCACCUGACUGCUUCAAAGCCUUCAAUGGUCCCCAUGUUUAGGAUGGCACCCCAAACCUCAACAUGGCUGGAUUUCUGUCUCACAAUGCUUUUUCUCAAACAUAGUUCUCCAGCUUAAUUCAACAUUUUCAUUUCUUCCAAUGCCUCCACUCUUUUUCAUGUCUAAUUAGUUAGCAUUCCCUGCCCAUUAGAUUUAAAUUUAAAGACCCAUGACGUUAUGAAUCUGUUUUAUUCACCACUAUACAUAUAUAGCAAUUAGCACAAUGUCUGACAAAUAUUUGGAAACUACAUGAUUUAUUUAUUCAGAAAAUAGUUUUUAAAUGCCUGGUCUGUGUCAAGCUCCAUUCUUGAUUCUUGGUGAUGUGGAAAUAUUUUUUUUAAAAGAGAGACAAAACCCUUUGCCCUUAAGGAGUUAUAUUCUACUAGAGAGAGAGAAACACAAUGAGAAGAAUAGGUGGUAUAUCUGAUGGUGAUAACUGCCAAAGAAAAAAAUUAAGUAGGGAAGGAGGGGGGAUAAAGAAAGAAAGGAGGCAGACAGAAGGAGGGAUGGAGAGACAGAGGGAAGGAGAGAUGGAGAGACAGAGGGAAGCAAGCAGAUAUUUGGGGGAAGAACAUCCAACAAGGAGAGUGGCAAGUUCAAAGGUCCUGGAUGGAUAUAUGCCUUCAGAGUUCAUGGCCAGAAAGAAGGUCAGUAUGACUAGAGAGAAUGAGGCAGGGAGAGCAGUGGAAGAUCAGUGCGGAGACUCGAAGGGCUCCCUGAUGCAGGGCUGGUGGUCCUGAGGGAGCUGUCGCCGUGUCUGCAACGCGGAGCUGCUGGAGCGCUCUGGGUAGAGGGGUGCUGUGGCAGGACGAGGAUUUCAGCGGUCUCACUCAGCAUGCCAGCAUGCUCUGUUGGAAACAAACUGAACAGGAGUAAAGAUGGGAGCAAAAGUGCCUGGUAGGAGGCUGCUGCCGCCACCCAGGUGAUCCAUAAUGGCAGCUGCAACCAGGGUGGUAGCAGAGAGGUUGAAUCCUUUACACAUUUUGAAGGUAGAGGUGACAGGGUUUCCUGAUGAUCGGAAUGUAGCAUUUACGAGAAAGAGGAAUCGAGAACGAUUCCAACGGUAACCCUAAGUUUGGUUUCGGAAUCUUGGAAUCUGUUUCUGUUUUGUAAGUUCUGUGGUAUCAAAUGCCACGGGUUAGUGAUGUCAUGUUACUUGUUUUUCCAAGUGGGAAAUGAGGGGAGAGAAAUAAUUUGGGAGGUUGGGACUAACAUGUACACACUGUGAUAUAUAAAAUAGAUAAGUAACAAGGACCUACU
rnacentral:lncRNA from 1 species